rnacentral:rRNA from 1 species
AUCAUGGCUCAGGAUGAACGCUAGCUACAGGCUUAACACAUGCAAGUCGAGGGGCAGCGAGAGGAAAGCUUGCUUCCUUGUCGGCGACCGGCGCACGGGUGAGUAACGCGUAUCCAACCUUCCCCAUAGUAGAGGAUAGCCCGGCGAAAGUCGGAUUAAUACUCUAUGUUGUACAACGAGGACAUCUGAAUUGUACCAAAGAUUCAUCGCUAUGGGAUGGGGAUGCGUCUGAUUAGCUUGUUGGCGGGGUAACGGCCCACCAAGGCGACGAUCAGUAGGGGUUCUGAGAGGAAGGUCCCCCACAUUGGUACUGAGACACGGACCAAACUCCUACGGGAGGCAGCAGUGAGGAAUAUUGGUCAAUGGACGAGAGUCUGAACCAGCCAAGUAGCGUGCAGGAAUGACUGCCCUAUGGGUUGUAAACUGCUUUUAUGCGGGAAUAAAGUCAGGUACGUGUACCUGUUUGUAUGUACCGCAUGAAUAAGGACCGGCUAAUUCCGUGCCAGCAGCGGC